rnacentral:lncRNA from 1 species
AAAGGGCUCACCAUUUACACGGAAAGACACCACAUAAUUCUACAAAUCUUCUUCCAUUUUCUUUUCCUGAAGAAUACAUAGAAACUUCUCUAUAAUUAUUCAUUCCCUGCACACAAUACAAUGAAUACACAGACCAUACUCUCCACUCAAGAACACUUCACCAUUUUUAAUUUCUAAUUGACAAAGAUUACACUACACACCAUUUGAGCAAUAAUAGAGAAGAAGAGAAAGAAAAGAUAUCAGUAGAGAGUAUCUAAGAUAAGUUAGCAGGCAUCUUUCACCAAUAAAGUAUGAAUUUAUUUAUAGUUUUCUACAUCUGAUUCUGAAAACAGUGACAAUAAAAUGAUACCAAUGUAUAGUUGAUUUUCUUCUUGGUGGUAGUCGUUUGCAGCCAGGUUAAGAAUAGAUAUUGGUUGAUAUUGAUUGCUUAGGGGAAAUUUAUAUAAAAAGAAGAAAGAAUUAGGUUGUGCUACUGCUUGAACUGGGUUUUGUUUCUCGUUACUACGUGUCCAUUUCUAGUAAAACAGAUUAAAGAAAUGUAUAGUUACUUACUCAAGACUUGUAUAUUAUGGAAAAUCUUUUUGGGUUUGAGAAUCCCUUUAUCUUCACCGUAGCUUCCUUUAUUUCCUUCUGUUUUUGGAAUAAACUGAUGUGUAAGAAGAAAAAUUGAUACAGAGGAUUCGACCCAAUUAGUUUGUAUUUGAAGAGUGGAUAUUAUUUUCUUAUUAGAGCCUUCAACUGAAUCUAUUCUCUUAUGCUUUGGAAAAAUAUUUCUUGCCUUUGCUCAUUCACUUCCUAGUAAAUGGGUGUUGUUAAAUUUGUAUUCUUACGAGAAAUAUAUAUAUAUAUAUAUAUAUAUAUAUAUAUAUAUAUAUAUAUAUAAACACAUACGGCACACAUAUAUAUAUAUAUAUAUAUAUAUAUAUAUAUAUAUAUAUAUGAACAGAUUCGGAUCAUUCGAAAGUUUUACAUAAGGGCAAGUUUAUUAAUUGACGCCUGACUUCGGAUACCGAUUGAAGCCACUGAAGGUUAUUUGGUUGGUAUUCUACGCAUAGUGAGGUUGUGGAACUUGUCUUUAGCAAGGUAAGUGAGACUUUAAGCUUUGAAGCUUGCUUUUCAAAUCUGAUUUAUAAAACUUAUAUUUUUCUACCUAGUCCAUGCGUUAGGACAAGUGUGAACUUGGUAGAAUUUGUGGCUUUUGACUAGCUAUGAAUACGUAUUUUGAAAAGUGUGUUGAGAAUUAUUUAGAGUGAAACGCGAGGUAAGGUUGGGGCGCUGAAUAUAUUUUCUUCGCUGCCGUUAUAGUCUUUAGGGGAAUACAUAGCUGCCGUAAUAUGUUAGGGACAUUACUUAUGCUGUUGUAAUAUGUUAGGGGCAUUAUUUAUGCUGCCGUAAUAUGUUAGUGGCGUUACUUAUGCUGUCAUAAUAUGUUAGGGGCAUUACUUAUGCUGUCGUAAUAUGUUAGGGGCAUUAUUUAUGCUGUUGUAAUAUGUUAGGGGCAUUACCUAUGCUGUCGUAAUAUGUUAGGGGCUUGUACAUGUUAUCGUAGUAGACUUUUUGGGGCUUUAUAUAUGUUGCCGUGGACUUGUCGGGGUGUUAGGCCGAUUACCUUCACUGCCAUUUAUGACAAGUCGUGAGUGUGGAUUGAGUUGUUAUAGGAUGAUAUUUUGAACCUCUUUGAAACUCUUAUUGAUAUUAUUUUAUGAAAGAUAUUAUGUACAUAUUAAUUGUGUAUUUUUGUUGUGCUUUGUAUUUUCUAACACUUGUUCCAAGGGUAUUAAAGUAGCGAGUCAAGGAUCUUACUGAGUUAUAUUUAUAUAGCUCACUCCUUACUUGCAUACGUGCAGAUACGGUUGCAGAGAGAGAGGCUCGUGGCUGACUGUAUUUAUGUGUGGAUUCUAUCUCUAAGGUGAGCCUUCGCAUUAUGCGUGAAGGCUGUCAUUCAUCUCUCGUUAUUUUAGCUUAUGUUUUCAUUUGUUGGGUUUGUUUACCCAAAAGUUGAACUCAUGUAAUUCUGUUUAGAUGCUCCAUGAACUCAGUGUGGGAUUUGGGUUAGAGAUUUGUUAUCUAAACUAUUGUAGUUUUCAUAUAUCGCUAUGCGAUGUCUUGUUGGAUAAUGAUCCUGCGUUAAUAAUUAUUUCGUG